UACGUAGGGGGCUAGCGUUGUCCGGAAUCAUUGGGCGUAAAGCGCGUGUAGGCGGUCCGGUAAGUCCGCUGUGAAAGUCGGGGGCUCAACAGAUGGGCCGCGGAGGAUACUACAGAGCUAGGAGGCAGGAGAGGCAAGCGGUACUCAGUGGGUAGGGGUAAAAUCCGUUGAUCCAUUGAAGACCACCAGUGGCGAAGGCGGCUUGCCAGAAUGCGCUCGACGGUGAGGGAUGAAAGCUGGGGGAGCAAACCGG
rnacentral:rRNA from 1 species